ensembl:lncRNA
CAUACAGAAGCUUUAUUCAACUUAUGCAUACAUCUUGAUAAAUUCUUAUAAAUAAGAUAAGCACCAUCCACAUCAAGAAACAGAACAUUAUAGGUGCUGGCCUGGUAGCAUAUUGGUUAAUUUCACUCGCUCUGCUUUGGCGGCCUAGGGUUCACUGGUUUGGAUCCCGGGCACAGACCUAUGCACCUCUUAUGAAGCCAUGCUGUGGCAGGCAUCCCACAUAUAAAAUAGAGGAAGAUGGGCACACAUGUUAGCUCAGGCCCAAUCUUCCUCAAAAAAAAAAAAAAAGAAAGAAAUAGAACAUUACAGAUGUUGAAUUAUAAUGCUGUACACCUAAAACUUACAUAAUAAAAAAAAGAAAAAAGAACAGAACAUUGCUAUCACUACAGAAGCCCCCCACCCCCAUGGUAUUUUUCUGAUUACAACCUCUUCUCUCUUUCCAGAGUUAAUCACUAUUCUGAUCUUCUGACUUUUAUGGAAAUCAAUUCCUUGAUUUUCUUUAUAUCUCUAAGAGUCUGAACAGAACUGUUGAAUUUUGCCCUUUAUUGUAUUUUAUAUAAGCAGAAGCAUACUAUUUCUCUUCUUUUUUAUUUUUUAUUUUAUUUAUUUUCCUUGAGGAAGAUCAGCCCUGAGCUAACAUCUGCGACCAAGCCUCCUCUUUUUGCUGAGGAAGACUGGCCCUGAGCUAACAUCCAUGCCCAUCUUCCUCUACUUUAUAUGUGGGACACUGUUCUAUGAAUGUCUAUUAGUUCAAGUUUUGUUAGUUAAUAUGUUGUUCAGAUCUUCUAUAUCUAUUUGUCCUGACAUUUUAAUUUGUUUGUUGCAUCAAUUACUGAAAGAGUUUUGUUAUUUUCACAAUAUGAUUUAUGGAUUUUUUUCUUCUGUGGUUCUUUUUUCUUCUUUAUGUAUUUUUACACUGUGGUAUUAGGUGUACACAAAAUGUAAAAUGGUUACCUUACUUUGAAAUUAAAUGUUUAUCCUUAUGAAGUGGUCCCCUUUAUCUCUAGUAAUGCUUUUUAUCUCAAAGUCUGCCUUCUUUGAUAUUAACAGGCUACCCCAGCUUCCUUGUGGUUAACACACUUGGAUGCAUAUGAAUGUAUUUAUCUUCUUAUUUAUCCUUCUUGGGAUUUACUGAGCCACUUAAGUCUGUAGAUUGGUGACUUCAUUAGUUCUGGAUAAUUCUCAGCCAUUAUCUCUUCAAAUAUUGCCUAUUUCUUCUCUCUUCUCCUAAAACUAAUCAAAUACAUUUUAGACUUCACCUCUCUUAAGCUCUUUUCUGUAUUUUUCACAUUUUUUUUCACUCUGUACUGAAAUUCUGGGUAAUUACUUCAAUCUUCCCAUUAACUAAUUCUUCUUUGUGUCAUCUUUUUCUUAACACAUCUAUUGAGCUUUUAAUUCCAGCUAUUACAUUUUUCACUUUGAGACAUGCUGUUUGGUUCUUUUUCAAAACUGCAUGGUCACUCCUUUAGUUUCCUGCUGCCUGCAAAUAUUUCCAAGCUUGUCAUUUAUUCCUUUAAACCCACUGCAGAUAUUUGUUUUAUAAUCUGCAUCUGUUUAUUUGUGGGACUGUUUCUGCUGUCUCUUGUUUCUGCUGGUUAUCAUUCAUGUUUCCUUGUUAUCCUGUUCUUAAUUGAUGGAGUGCUGGUCAUUGUCUUUGAAAAACUUUGUGGGGAUUCUCCAGUGCCUAUGCUGAUGGUGGCCUCCUCCUGAAGAGAUUUGCCAUCCACAUCCGCCAAUACGUGAUUUGCUUUUUCUGCUUGGAUGCCUGAAGAAUUCUUCUAUCCUUGAGAUUCAGUCAUAUUGGAUUUGAGCAUUCUCUAUCAGACUUAACUAGAAAAAACAGGUUCUUUUUAAUUUGGAGUUACAGUUUUUUUCUUUAUGGGAUAUUCUUCUUGAGAUAUUUUUUUACUUUUAUUUUUUUUGAGGAAGAUUAGCCCUGAGCUAAUGUCUGCCACCAAUCCUGCUCCCUUUUUUUUUGCUUAUGAAGGUUGGCCCUGAGCUAACAUCCGUGCCCAUCUUCCUCUACUUUAUAUGUGGGACACCUGCCACAGCAUGGCUUGAUAAGCAUGUGUAUAUGUCCACGCCCAGGAUCCAAACCAGCAAAUCCUGGGCCGCCGAAGCCAAGUGCACAAAUUUAACCAUUAUGCCACCAGUCUGACCCCCUUCUUGAGUUAUAUUUUUAAAUACAUCUUCUCUACCAUCGUAUGGGGUGUCUAUUUCAUAGAGAAAACUUAUUCUUAUUGGAUUAUCUUAGUCUGUGUUCUGGAUCUCUUAGCUUCAUUUAUUGCUUGAUUCUCUGUAUUUUUUAUGUGAUCGCUCUGAUUAGGCAAAGCUCCUCUACCUCAGUAAUUCAAUUCUCAGCAGUGUCUAUUCAGUAAAUUGUUUUUUCUAAUUUUAUAAACUUUUUUUCUGUAAUUACAUUGUAUUGGACCUUGUGAUGUUUUCCUUAGGUCAAUAUUCCCCCUUUUUAUUCUAUUCUUGAGCUGUUUUCCCCUAAGGUGGCUCCGUGCCUUUUGCAUGCAAUAGUCCCUCUUACCCCAUAGGAUAUUUGCAGUUCCCCAAGCUAUUGCUAAGGCUUGAGUGCCUCUGUCUCACCUGAUAUAAUGUGGUGACUUCUUGACUUUUCCCCCCAGUGCAUUACACCUGUUUAUUCAACCUUUGGACCAUUUCCCUCAAUUCAGAAUGUUGCCAUGGAACCUUUGUAUCCAUCAGAGAGAGAGACGCUCAUUGUUCAUUUCUCUGUCUCACUCCCCCACCCCCAAUGACAGUGUGAUAUUGUGAUUUAU